AUACGUAGGGGGCAAGCGUUAUCCGGAUUUAUUGGGUUUAAAGGGUGCGUAGGCGGUUUGCUAAGCGGGAGGUGAAAUGCCGGCGCUCAACGUCGGAAGUGCCUCCCGAACUGGUGGACUUGAAUGACUCUGCCGUGGGAGGAAUGUGUAGUGUAGCGGUGAAAUGCUUAGAGAUUACACAGAACACCGAUUGCGAAGGCAUCUCACGAAGGGUUGAUUGACGCUGAGGCACGAAAGCGUGGGGAGCAAACAGGAUUAGAUACCCUGGUAGUCCACGCCGUAAACGAUGAGCACUAGUUGUUGGGUCCGAAUGGAUUCAGUGACGCAGUUAACGCAAUAAGUGCUCCGCCUGGGGAGUACGGUGGCAACACUAAAACUCAAAUGAAUUGACGGGG
rnacentral:rRNA from 1 species